ensembl:lncRNA
GGGCCGCUCCAAGUGCAUCAAAUCCCACUUCAGCUCCAGCAGUGCAGAAACACAUCCCCGGAGCUCCUGGCAGGGCUGCUGGAGCAGGGCCAGCUCCCACCGGGCUCCAGAGGCACCUGGGGCUGGGAAUUCCUCACCCAGCCGGGCCAGGAGCUCCUUCGUGUGUGCCCAUCCCUCCGACAGCCCGGCAGGCGGGACUGGGGCUCCCUGUUCAGGGAGCUGCAGCCUCAUCCAGGGAGGGAUUCAUCCUCACUCCAGGGAGGGAUUCAUCCUUGUUCCAGGGAGGAAUUCACCCUCAUUCCCGGGGAGGAAUUCACCCUCACUCCAGGGAGCUGCACCCUCAUCCAGGGAGGGAUUCAUCCUUGUUCCAGGGAGGAUCUGAUCCUCACUCCAGGGAGGGAUUCAUCCUUGGAGGGAUUCACCCUCAUUCCCAGGGAGAAAUUCACCCUCACUCCAGGAAGCUGCAUCCUCAUUCCAGGGAGGGAUUCACCUCAGUCCAGGGAGGACUUCAUCCUCAUUCCCAGUAAGGAUUUGAUCCUUCCUCCAGUAAGCAUUUGAUCCUUGCUCACAGGGAGGAUUUGAUCCUCAUUCCCAUGAAGGUCUGACCUCGUUCCCAGUAAGGAUUUGAUCCUCAUUCCCAGUAAGGAUUUGGCUCCGUGAGAGGAACCUGGGGGUGCAGAACCCCCAAGCUGCCCUGAGGUCCCUGAGGGACCCUGAGCCCCAGAGAGGACAAAGCCAUUGAACCCAGAAAAUGCACAGACAACAGGAGGUGGUGAGUCCCUUUUCCCUCCAUCCCCUCUGUUUCUGUCCAGGAUUGUAUUUUAUUCCCAAAUCAGGUUCAGAUUGUACAUUGUGCUACAAUUAGCAAAGGAUAAUUAUAUAUAUAUAUAAAUAUAUAUUUUACUCUUUUUUAUUCAUGUCUAAGUAAAUCCCCUGGGGGUGCCAGGACACGGUGCGGAUUUUGGUUUUUCACAAGUGGUUUACAGUAACUAAACUCAACAGAUGCCUUAUUCCUGAGGAUGGCAGGAGUUUUUGGAAGAGGAGCAAGCCCCUGUUCCCAGGUCCUGGCAGGCAGGGAUGCCUGGGGCAGCCAGGGGGUUUCUGUGGAAAGGAUGGGAGCAGAAGGAGGAGCUGGGUGUGAGAGGAGCCUGGAGACCCCAGGCUGGGGCUGCCACUCCCAGAUCCAGGCGCUGCCUGAGCCCUCCAAGCCCUCAGAAGUGGCUGGUGCCUUUUGGGGGUCUGAAGCCAAGGCAGAUCACUGCAGGCUGCACACAGACCAUCUGUGUCCAUGUCCCACAGAUCUCCCUCCCUGCAAUUCCAUCAAAAUCCUCUUUAAAAUACACGGAGAUUUUUCCAAAGCCACUCGCUGACUUCCCCUCCCCUCACUGCUGUACAAGGGGCAGGGAGGAAAAUCCUUUCCCAGAAGUUUUUCCUUUGGCUAAGAGCAGAACUUCUCCUCUCCAGGAUUAAACCACGGUGACAUUUCCUUUUCCCCCUUUCUUUAAUCCGUUUCACCUGAGUCUGGCAGAGCCCCGAGUUCACCCAGGUUUCACUCCAGCCCGUAGGGAUGAGUGCAUUUCUUGCUGCAUCUCUUCUCCAAAUCCAGUCCCAAAACCAUCCAGCGGUUCCUGUGGGGCUCCCACGGAGCCUCCUGCUCACCCAGAGUUGUUCCCACAGCCUUUCACCCCUCCUGGGCUUUGUCCUGGGCUCCACCUGCUCUGCUGCCGGGAGCUCCCCUGGUUCUGUGGGUGCAGAAUCCCACUGGAGGGACCCCCAAACCCCUGCCCUGGCACCAGGAACUGCUGCACUGCUGCACAAAAUAACUCACACACUCACUCUAAGCUUAAAAGAGCAAAAGGAAGUAACUUUUAUUUCUGACCUCGCAAUAUGCAGAGUUCCAAAAGUGGCAGUGGACUGGGGGAUGGGAUUGCCACCUCUCCAACCACACUGGUCAAACCAACAGCCCACCAAUUCUCUCCUCCCACAGAGAAGAAUGCAAAACAAUCAUUAUUUACAUCAACAGUGCCUGAGAACUCCAGCAGAGAUAUAUAAACAUUAUCAGAAGGCAUGAAAACUUUCAAAAGAACUUUAAAACUUUUAAAAGAACUUUAAAACUUUUAAAAGAACUUUAAAACUUUUAAAAGAAGAGGGUGACAAGGAACAUCCUGGGAGGGCGUUCCUGGCAGCUGAACCCCAGGAAGAGCCACCAGAGCCAGGCUCAACCCUGCCCAAAGUCCCUUCUUCUGACCUAAAAAUCCACCAGCCCCAAAAAUGCACCAACCCCAAAAAUCCACCGACCCCAAAAUGCACUAACCCUUAAAAUCCACCAACUCAAACAAUCCACCAAGCCUGAAAUCCACUGACCCCAAAAACGUGCUGACCCCAAAAACGUGCUGACCCCAAAAAUUGACCAGCCUCAAAAAUCCACUGACCCCAAAAAUCCAGCCCCCAAAAUGCACCAACCCUAAAAUCUGCCAGGCUCAAAAAUCCACCAGCCCCAAAAUCCACCAACCCCAAAAAUCCACCAAGCCUGAAAUCCACCGACCCCAAAAACAUGCUGACCCCAAAAAUCAACCAACCCUGAAAUCCACCAACUCAAAAAAUCCACCAACCCCAAAAAUCAACCAACCCCAAAAAUCAACCAACCCUAAAAUCCAUCGACUCCAAAAAUCCACCAACCCCAAAAAUGCAACAACCCUAAAAUCCGCCAGGCCUAAAAAUCCACCAACGCUGAAAUCCAGUGACCCCAAAACUCAACCAACCCCAAACUGCCCGAGCCCAGCAGUCGUUCGGAGGGCCCUGCCGGCCCUGGGAGCAGCCGUGUGUCUCGCUUCGAUGUGCUCUUGUGUGGGGUAGAGAAGGUGGCCCUGUCGUGUUGUUCGUGAGCUGUUCUUCCCCAGAGAGGUGUCCCAUGUAAAAUACGUCAGUGCAAAGUGUAUAUUUUAUGUGAGAGGAAAAUACAUUUUAAUAAAGGUAAAGCUUUUGUUUAGCUGUAAAAAAUGGCAACUGUUCAAGUGUACAGUAACUUCUUACUAAUGUAUGAAAAUCUGUGAUAUUUUUGAUUUGAUUGUAUUUGUAUUGCCCAAAUAAAACAUUUUGGCUGUAUU